GACAAGUUUCACACAGUAUUAGGAAGGAAGGGGGAGGUACUUGCAGCAUUUGGCUUCAGCCUAACUGCUUUCAUAUUCCUUUUGUUAGUACAAACUGAGCAAAAGGGAUAUUUAUUCAUAGUCUUGUGGCUACAAAGAUGAAAGCAAAUCGGGACUUUAUAAUAGUCGUAUCACAAAAAUGCUUUGAUACAGUAUUGAAUUUUCUUUCAUGCUAUGAUACAGGUACAUGUCAUUGUUGGAGCCACUGUCUUUUUGAGUUUAGGCUGCAUAUUCUGAGUUGUACCAUGGAGCUGACCUCCUGCGAUUGACUGCCUUCAGCAGUGAAGCUGCAGCACCAUCACCCACACGAUCGACCUGUUCACAAGAAUUGAGGUGUCUGUUCUACGUCCGGAAAUGGAUAUGAUACGUCAAGCUAUAACGAUUACGAGUCUAUAAUCCAUAGAAAAGGCAACACGGCUGCAGCAGCGAAAGAGAAAGAAUUAGCUUGGAAGAAAAUAGCUCCUCGAGUCAAUGCUUAGUUGAGGCUAGAACAACUGGUGGAGGACCUGCACCUCCACCACUGACGCAUGCAGAGGAGAAGGCCCUCGGCAUGAACACUGGAAAGCAGGGGCUGAAGUAAUUCCUGGAGGGAGUUCAUCAGAACCAGUCACUCCCCAGGAUACAAGUGCAUGUGUAAAAUCCAACAGAAAGAAGGCAGAGACUAAAACAACUGGUGGAGGACCUGCACCUCCACCACUGACGCAUGCAGAGGAGAACGCCCUCAGCAUGAACACUGGAAAGCAGAGGCUGAAGGAAUUCCUGGAGGGAGUUCAUCAGAACCAGUCACUCCCCAGGAUACAAGUGCAUGUGUAAAAUAUUCUGAUAGUAAUAUAUGAAUCCUCCUGUCACAACAGAAGCCCAGGAUGUUAGUGUGAAAGAACAGCAGGAGGAGAUCAGUCGCAUUCUGCUGCACAGAUGCACACAAUUCAGUGAUGUUCAAUAAAUGCCAGAGUUCAAUUCCGUAAGAGUAAUGAGGAACUAUGUCUUGUAACUAUAAAUCUUCUGUAUUUUAAGUUACCGGUCAUUGAGUUGUAUAAACUAAAUCUCAAGGAAAUAUCACACUUGUACCACAAGAUUGAAAAGGCAGAUCUAGAAAUUGAAAUUCCCAAACACAAGCUGGAGAUGAGUGUAUAGUUAAAGGUGAAUUGUAUGAAUUAUUGGAAGAAUCAUAAAAUCUAACAAUUGCCUUUGUAUUUGUAGGAAAUGAAAAAAAACAACAAAUAAAUUAUGAUUUGCAUCUAUUCAGUUUCUUUUAUUGGUGGUGGUGGUGAUGGUUGAUUAAGACAUUAAAGCAAAUCACAGCUGACUGUCCAUCCACUCUGCAGAUUACUGUGAUGGAAGGUGUCUCCUCAGGGUCUUGUAUUUGUAGGGCAGGCUGUUGCUCCUCUCUAAUAAUUGCAAUAAUGUGGAGAACAACACAUGUCACAGUAAUGUCACAGGCCUCUCAGGUGUUUCCCUGAGGUGACUUAGGCACUGAAGACGUGC